UUGCAGGUACAGCUGGGGCAGGGGCUGGAGCACACAGCCUCGUGCAUUCCUGACGUCACCAGGCAUAUGUUACAUACUGUGAAGAGACCAGAAUUGUCAGCAGUUGAGUGGAAGAAGCUGAAGCACUAUAGCAUUUCCUAGUUGCCACUGGUGUUUACUGGCAAACGGACGUCAUUUGCAUUGGAACUUCAAACACGGAGUGUUCUAAUUUAGUGCCUAGGCUACGUUAUAAAAACGACUUCUGUGGCCGAGAGCUCUUUUUGGAGGGAACAUGGCUUCAAAUGGGAUAGAAAGUAUGCAGUUAGGGGAGGAUCAGAUCAAAAUUCUGGAGGAGAAUUUCAACAGAGUCAGCAAGCAUCCGGAUGAGUCGACACUCAUGUUAAUCGCAGCUGAAAGCGGACUAACCGAGGAAGAGACAGCGAAAUGGUUCAGGCUACGCAAUGCACGAUGGAGACAGGCGGAGGGCCUUCCAGCUCAACUGGGAUCAGUGAAAGACUGAAAUUGGAGUGGUGAAGGAAACCUCCCCCUCACCCCGUUGCUUCUGACUGAUUUGCCACGCCCUUACUGACCAACUCCCAGGACACAGCAACCACUCAUACCUUCCUUCCAUCAUUCUCUCUCCUUUGUAUCUAAGCUAUUUUCAUUUAGUGAAUGUGUGAAGUGUAAUGCGAGUCAAUGUUUUUUUGCCAAUAUAAUUGGCAUGUUUACAUAUAAUAAUAAAUAAACAAACAUAUAUUAUAAAUGA